rnacentral:lncRNA from 1 species
CCCGAGUACCAGAAGAGGCCAAUGAGCAGGGCCCCCCCUCCUGAGGACCAUAAACAGUGACCCAGGCACAGAGGGAGUGUAGUGAAUUCCUGUACUUUAAUGUUGCCCUGGCAUCCGUUUUGAAUAUAAUCUGGACUUUCUUACAUUAGAAGCAGGGCUCAGUCAACCUUGACACUGUUUCCAGCUCCCUGCUUCCUCCCAGUUCCUCUAUGUGCUCAAUCCAGAUAUCUACCUUAGACAGUCAUCUCCCGGUGACUGCCUCCCUGUGGGACAGCUACAUACAGCCCACUUGACUGGUCCCGCUGACCCCACAGCCCGCAUGGACUGUUGCAGAUAGGCCAGUGACCCUCUCUCAGCCAUAGCGUGACCCUGCUUGCUCUAAACUCACCAAUUAUUUUAUUUUAUUUUAUUUUAUUUUAUUUUAUUUUAUUUAUUUAUUUUUGAGAUGGAGUCUCGCUCUGUCACCCAGGCUGGAGUGCAGUGGCGCAAUCCUGGCUCACUGCAAGCUCCGCCUCCCGGGUUCAAGCCAUUCUCCUGCCUCAGCCUCCUGAGUAGCUGGGACUACAGGUGCGCACCACCACGCCCAGCUAAUUUUUGUAUUUUUAGUAGAGACGGGGUUUCACAAUGUUUUCCAGGAUGGUCUCAAUCUCUUGACCUCGUGAUCCACCCGCCUCGGCCUCCCAAAGUACAGGCGUGAGCCACCGGCACCUGGCCUAAACCCAAUUAUUACUCCCCUCAGGAAACCUGCCUGGGUGACGCCCUGGACCCCAUAAAGGCCUUGGUCCCACAGGUCCCCUCUCUCUCUCACUCUCUACCUGCUACUUGAACACCCUGCUGUCUCCGGGAUUCCUGUUGGCCCUCAUCGGCGCUGGCUUCUCUCAUGGAUCUAGAGCGGCUAUCUCGGCUUAUGGUACCUCUCCAAGGGACACCCCAAGACCCAAUUAGACAAAGAUCUCAACAGGGAGGCUCCUGGCUCAAGGCACCUUGCUUGCCUCACUCUAGUCCCAGCCUGACCUCAGGAGAAGGAUUGAGGAACCUAGUCCUCCCGCAGGCAGGAGGGGUAGAGCACCUUGGAACCAAACUCAGGAGUUUCUGGCUGGCUCCAAACAGAAGAGCCACAGGCCAACCCGGGUCCCCUCUUCCAAAGCCCACAGGAGCUCUCUUCUGAAAGGAUCUCCAGCCUUGGGUUUACCUCAUCAGAGGCUUGGCCUGUGGGACACUGCGGGAGAGGAUUGGGAGAAGAAAGAGGGAGACGGGGUUUCACCAUGUUCGCCAGGAUGGACUCGAUUUCCUGACCUCGUGAUCCACCCACCUCGGCCUCCCAAAGUGAUGGGAUUGCAGGCGUGAGCCACCGUGCCCAGCCAAGGUAAGAUUCUUAUAAACCUUUUAUAACCCUUUACAAUUUUUUUUAGAACAGAACAAUGUUCUUAAAAAAUUCUGCUGUGCUUUUUUUUUUUUUUUUUUUUUUGAGAUGGAGUCUGGCUCUGUUGCCUGGCCUGGAGUGUAGUGGCACGAUCUCAGCUCACUGCAACCUCCGCCUCCAGGGUUCAAGCGAUUCUCCUGCCUCAGCCUCCCGAAUAGCUGGAAUUACAGGCUCCUGCCACUACACCCAGCUAAUUUUUUGUAUUUUUAGUAGAGAUGGGGUUUCACCAUGUUGGCCAUGCUGGUCUUGAACUGCUGACCUCAUGAUUUGCCUGCCUCAGCCUCCCAAAGUGCUGGGAUUACAGGCAUGAGCCACGGUGCCUGGCCUCUGCUUUUGAUGGCAGCAGGGGGCCGUCUAAAGUGGCUGCUGCCAUCACACUGGCUGCAGUAGGGAGGCAUGGGCGGUGGUGGCAGGAGCAGCUGUGGGAGCAGCAGUGGCAGUAGUGGGACUCCUGUGCCCCAUGUCCCCUGUGCCCUGCAUCCCUGAGGCAGUCAGCUGCACCACCCCCAUCCUCUCAUGGCUGGGCAGAACCUGCUCCCAGACCCAGAGUCUCCACCGUGGUCACAAUCUUGCACGCCUGGCCAAGGGCACAGUUGGGGACUCUUGGGGCCAGCCCCAAGAGCAUUUGGUUUGUUUGUGUGGGGUUGACUGGGGCUACAGCACCACCUGCACCUUGCCCAUGACUGCUGCAGGGAAAAUGCAGACAGGAGGCAGGCAGGCACUCCCUGGAGCCUGUCCCUGGGAGCCCCCUAGAGUCCACUGCCCUGGGAGCCACUGUGAUGAGGCUGGGCUGAGUCACCCACUGACGGGGGAGCAGUGUAAUUGAGCAUGGAGGGGUGGGCAGAAAGGGGCCCUGAUAUGGAGCUGGGCCCAGGCCAGUGCCACACUCCAAGGAGCCAGUGAGAGCCAGGAGCAGACAGGGGCCUGGCAUUCCUGGGCGUGGCUGUGGCCACCCAAGUCACAGCUGUGGACCCAGGCCUCCCUGUGCUUUUGGGGGCUGGGAGCAGGUAGAAGCCCCACCCUCCCAAGGAGCAGCUGCAGCCACUCAGCUGCAGCUGUGGACCCAGGCCUCUCUGCACUUUUGGAGCCCUAGGAAGGCCACCCCCUUCCCCCUGCAGGCUCUGAGGUGUCUUAUCUCACUGCCUGAUCUCUGUCAACUCCUGGCAACUGCUCCGAUCUCAGAGCAAGGUUGGGGCCAAGCCUGGGCACUGUCGCAACCCAGCCAUGUGUGUGUACACUCAGGGCAGUGUUAACACGCCAGCCCCCUGCCACCUUAGCCCCCUCCUGACUUUGGGCACCAGCAAGCACCAGAGGGAGGCCAAGGGGGUGCUGAGGGCAGCUUGGCACUGGCCUCCAGGUGCCCUUUGGUAUGAACAGCCUGGACAUCAUGAACAGAGGCAGGAGACAGGCUCCUGGGCAGAAAGGAAAAGUUCCCCAGUGAAGCCUCACCUUGAAGCUGGCGAGGGCCUGUAGCUGGGGACUACACUGCUGGUCCCACAAACCAGAGUGGGAACUUGUGAUGCUUUUUCUGGGGCUGCACAUGGUUUCCCAUGGACCAACUGACAUGCGCUUCCUCCCCUCUGAGGCCCAUAAAAGCCCUGGACUCAGCCAGACUUGAGAAGAUGAUGGGACAACCAGCUGCAGAGAGGAGCUACCCUCUCUGCUGAGAGCUGAAGAGACAACAUGAUGACCAGCUGCAGAGAGGAGCUACCGUCUCUCCUGAGAGCUGAACACUCAUUGGGACACCCUGGCUACAGAAAGGAGCUACCUAUUUCAGGUCUCCUCUAAGCUGUUCUGUCACUCAAUAAAGCUUCUCUUCAUCUUGCUCACCCUUCGCUUGUCUGCAUACCUCAUUCUUCCUGGAUGCAGGACAAGAACUUGGGACCUGCCAAA